CUGAAAUACCAGGGUGGAGAGUUGUAACAGUCCGUCUUAUUUUUUCUGUUUUUAUUCGAUUGCAUUUUUAUAUUUAUAUUUUUCUUUGAAAAGCACAUUGAAUUGCUCCUAUGUAUGAAUUGUGCUAUAGAAAUAAACGUGCUUGCUUUGCUAUGCUACCAGCUCACACAGACAGAAGGAAAACACUUAGCAUUUACAGACUCCUCAUUAUCCGGCCUAAUGAGAAAUUAAUGAGAUGCCAGGCGACACUGACAGACUACGUUACUGGAAGGAGGAUAUAGGUGGCAGCAGGAGGGGUCUGCCAACCGAUGACCCCAUUUUUGACUUCCUUGUCUUCUUAGAAACCAUCAUACUUUGGGGAGAUGGAGCUGACGAAUGCGUCCGAUCUCUGAGCCUGUCCCAGAGCGACACUUCAGAAGGUUACCCAACCUGCUUUUAUGAAUCUGCCAAUAUGAUUAGCAGCAGAUGUGUCCAGAGUAGCCUGGUACCAAAUCAGCAGGGUCAUUUCAAACAGAGGAAACAAUUGGACGCAUCCCAGAGCCCACAACCAAUCAACAACGGACCAGAUGAGAUGAUGAGAUGCAGUACAAUGGCGCCAGGUCCCGACCCACCGGACUCAUCACACACCUUCUGUUCUUCAGGAACCAGAAGGAACCUAACGGAAACACAACAGGGAGGCGCCGACCUGAAUAUGUCUGAUAAGAAACUCACAUUCUCUGUUCGCAACAUUUGCACUAUUUAAUUCAACCCAGGACUCGGCACUGACUGACUGAGGGCCAAAUUCAUGUUUAUAACCGACCUACCAUGGCUUAGAAACACGCUGUGAAGGAGAUAAAUAUGAAGGGAAAAAUUAGAAGGAACACAUGAAUGGUUUGUAUCGGCGGGUGGUGUCAGUCAUUGAUAGGUCUCUGGAGAAUACUCUCAAGAGUUAAAUUUACGUUUUGCAAUGUCUGUGUAUGUUAUUGGCAGAAUCCUGUUUUUUAACCAUGUUACGUUUUGACGUUCUGUUCUAAGCGAACAGUUUAGACUAAACCCAAAAAGCUGAUAAUGGGCCUCUGUAUGCCUAUGUAGAUAUUCCAUUGAAAAUCAGCCGUUUCAGGCUACAGUAGUCAUUUACAGAAUGAACACUGUCUACACUGUGUUUCGGAUCAAUUUGAUGUAAUUCUAAUGGACAGAAAAUGUGCUUCUCUUUCAGAAAUAAGGACAUUUCUAAGUGACCCCAAACUUUUGUCCAGCAUCUCAUUAUCUUAUUGUUAAAUGAUCCAUGCAUUGGCCAUCUUAAAACAAUUACAUAUGUUAUCUUAGAAGAAAUUGCUAAUCCAGGUCAGAGAUUUAAAUCCCAUGCCCUGUGCUACUACAGCCUCUCUUUGCAAAGUUCUGGGGAUGAAAAGGGACAAAUAAACUUCAUCCGGGAAGGUGACAUUGACUUCAUCUCAGAGGUUUGGUAAUGGCUUAAUUGCAUUUUGUGGCUGAUUAAAAGAAAGAACAACAAUUCCAUCGCUAAAUAAAUCUGCAACAGACGGACCCAAGGCUGUGUUACGUAUUACGGGAAAAGAGCUGUAAGACUCUCCGCUAAGAGGGUGAAGCACUUUAACCAUGCUGCUCCACAGCAACGAUGAGACCAGGAUUUCUGACCAUGUUGUAACCUACUGGCGUUGUGAGAGUUCGGUCCAUGCAAUAACAACAUAACAGCUAUGAUAAAAUAAUCACAGCAGUCCUCAGUAGUCCAAAAGGACAUUCUCAGCAGGACUGGAAAUCUGGGCUUAAAUCUUUUUCGUUUCGUUUUAAAGGGGUUGUCAGGGCAUGUGUUGUAGAGGAGAAGACGGAGCACAUUAAAGAGAACCCUACACACAAACAUCUUUAUGUUCCCAGGUUUUGGACCAGAAACUGUGAAGUGUUUUUGAAUAUGUAACCAUAAAAUGGAUAGCAGCCUCGUAUUGUCCAUAAACAUUAUCAAAUAAAAAGAGCAGGUCCUUUAUUUUGGUGAACUUUCCCUCUAAAAGGAAUGCAGAAAACCAGGCCGAAGCUCACAAGAGAAUUGGCCAUCCAUCCCUGAUCUAUGUUACCCAAAUACUACAAUUUAUCCCACAAACAACAAAUAUUGAAUCUUCAGGUUGGUGAGGCUGAUUUGCAAAACCUUUACUGCACUGUUCAGAGACUUGAUAGUUAAAUAAUAAUUAAUACAUAUUUUUAAUGUUACAUAUUCCAAUGACUUGGCUUAUG